CCCCCCCCCACUGGACAACUUGAGCUUUGGAGACUUCGCUGAUGAGGAUUCGGACCCACGGAGGAACUGGAUUGGUGAACAUUAUUCAACUGGAUCGCAAAACAAACCAAACUGAAAACUCGCGUAAUUUCUCGCAAUUUCACUACUCGGACAUGAGAACUGUACUGUUUUAAUUAAGUCUCUUUGCUUCUGAACUGUUGCAGACAUUGAUGUCUUUGUUCAUCUUGCAAGAAGAAAGGGAUGCAGUUCUGAAACUGUAAACAAAUCUGAGCACAUGAUCGCUGUAAACACACGGGACCCUUGGCGAAACAACUGUGCGUGCUAUUAGUGUUUUUGACUGAAGAUCGAUGGAACUGUUCAUCAUCAGAACUCUAAUGAAUGGUGGUGGGAAAAUUUAAACAGCUGAGUUGUUUUAUUUUUAUUUUUGUCUAGAUUUUCAAAUAUGUGUUUGUGAUCAUGCCGCAUAUCAAUGUUGGUGGUUUCUCCACAGGUUGUGGCUCAAAUUUAGCAUAUGGGCUGCAAGACUAUGGACUAUGGGAUCAUCUAUAUCCCUAUGUCCUCCAGACGGCAUAGAUGAUGGGAUCAGAUUCCCAACACAGGACCAGCAGGACUAUGGGAUCUUCUAUAUCCCUAUGUCCAUCCGGGGCGGAUCUUGGGUGGUAGUUGAAUGGGGUUAUCCAAUAUCACCUCCCUGUGGAGCAAAUACGUAUUUAAGCAACAUUCAAUAUUACUCCUGGGAGGAGAACAGCUAAAGUUGUAAUGAUCAUCACAAACAUUUUAGAGUGGUUAUCAAUAAAACAAAAUAGGAAUAGGUUAAGGAAUUUGCUCCCAGCUCCAUCGCUUCAAGGCUCUACAUAUUUAAUUUAAUACAAGUAGCACACCGCCUUUAGGGCAUAAACACAUACUUCCCAUAGGGACUGUUUAAAACAAAAAAUUCUAGCAAACCUCAAAUUUAUAAUUCAGUGGAAUCACGCUUAUAUCCAUCUAAUAACUUAAGACUAUGGGAUCACCUAUAUCCCUAUGUCGUUUUAGGGCUAAGGUGGAGUUCACUGGGUCUCUAACUGAGAAGUGCGGCAAAAAUCCAGAUGCGAAAUGGACUGGGCGGCCAUCAUGGGUACGGGCCCUUGUCUGGUGACACUAGGAUUCUUGUCUGGAGCAAAACAUUGAAAAGAAGGGAUUAGAUUCCCAACACAGGACCAGCAGGACUAUGGGAUCAUCUAUAUCCCUAUGUCCUCCAGACGGCAUAGAUGACGGGAUCAGAUUCCCAACACAGGACCAGCAGGACUAUGGGAUCUUCUAUAUCCCUACGUCCAUCCGGGUUCACUGAGAAACAUUGGAAUCACCUCUAUAAGUUGCCCCUGGAUUAACUUUUGACAAUAUUCAAGACAAACUUGGAAAUCGUAAAUACGGCAUUGCUGGAACAAGGGAACUAAAAACAUUUCAUAAGAGAAAAGUGUGACGAACAGAUGUUUACGGAAGGAGGCAAAUCUUCAUCAUCAUCCAGUGGAGGGACUCAUCACUGAGAUAAAGGACAAAGAACUUCUCAUCAGCGUGUGUGAUUUGGACUAAGGUUCACUAACGGAAGCAACUGUGCAGAAACUUUUGGAGAACGGACUUUAUAUACAAACUGUUAUUAUGAGCGUUGCAUUUCUCCACUGAGGACUCGGUGCAAACUGCUGCGUCACUCCACCAUAAUCUUGGAAGCACAGUUGAAGAACUUGCCUAUGCCAUUUUGGGGACCUUGACACUUGGAGGAUGAGCUUUUUUAGAAAGACAGUGACUUUCUGAUAUUAGACAAGUGAAAUUCUGAUGACCUUCUGAUGUUGGAUCAGCGGCAUUCACCAUCUUCACUACCAUUGGAGGCAUGUCCCAUUCUGGAAACUCUUGAGGUCAGCAGAUACCCUUCAGACGUUAUCUGGCUGUGAGCAUGACCAAGACGCUUGGAUUGCAGAAGUCUGCUGAAGUUGGGAUGGGCAGACCGGGACCAGACAUCUUGGGUAGAGGCCGGGGGACAAGAUUGCAUGUUCAUAAGGUGAGGUAACCAUUGUAUGCAGGCUUGAACAUGCACAAGACCCCCGGAUGUUGCCGCCGUACAGUUUGCAAGUGGAGUCGCUUGGAUUGUGUGGUACAUUAGAACGAGGGGGACAAGGUUGCAUGUAAACCCAGGUGAGGUAACCAUUUCUCUGCAGCUCUUCUAGGCCACAUGCCUCAAGACUUGUCCCCCUGGAUUCUGGAUGUUGUUCUGUGGAUUCUGGAUGUUGUUCUGUGGAUUGUGCAGAGUGGUAUCCUGUUUUGACUGAUCUAACCAGGAUAGGUCUAUUCAUCCUGCUGUGGAUGGAGUGAAGAUGGCAUCAGUGCGUUGUCAAAGAUGUACAGUCAUAGCCAGAAAGCAGACUGAUGAGAAACACACCAGAUACAAGAUAUCUGCUGCAGUAACUGUGAGCAAGGACUAUUAGCGUUGGAAGGUUGUAGACUACUGGCACAAUUCAACACCACAUCACUGGAGUGGGAGCAAACAUCAUGGCUCAUUCAAAUCAGCCUUCCUGCGACAACGCUCAACCUCAUCAGCCACAGAUCAGCAAGGCACAGAUCAUCAAAGACUGUGAUCCUCUCAUAUCACCCACCUUGGCUCGUAGAGGUUGUAGACUACUGGCACCAUUCAACGCCACAUCACUGGACUGGGAGCAAACAUCAUGGCUCAGCUACACCUUCCUGCGACAACGCUCAGCCUCAUCAGUCAGGACUAACGGGUGGACCUGCAUACUGCAAUUUUGAUCAUCAGCAUCAGCCAUGCAGACUUCAGCAGAGACAAUUAAUGCUCCUCUCAGGUGGAUCUGGAAGGCAGACUGAUGGGGGCUUCAGAGGCUCAGCUAGUAGUCAGGAAUUUACAUCUCAGACCACUGGGGAGACGCACCUGAAGUUGUGCGCGUUUGGAUAAAUCUGGACAGCAUCACACUAUAGAUGGAAACGAGCGUUUGAGGGGGGAGGGCGUUAAUUGGCCAGACGGCACCCCUCCUUCAUCUCGACCACUGCAGCUUGAAGAUUUAACUUUUUAGGUUUUGGAGCCACGAAGGAACUGGAUUGGUGCACAUUAUUCACGUGGAUCGCGAAACAAACAAAACUUAAAAACCCGCGUAAUUUCUCGCAUUGUGACCUCGACAGUUAAUUAGAACUGCUUCAAGUUUGAAAUACUUCUAAACUACUGCUGAUUUGGAUGUAUGUGUUCGUCUUGCAAGAAGAAAGGGAUUUAGUUCCCAAACUGUGUCGACGACACGUGAUCACUGGACCCUAUGGAGAAACCAUUGUGCGUGCUUUUAACAUUUAUGAAUGGAUGACUGAUGGAACUGUUCAUCAUCGGAAUUUUUAUGAGUGGUGGUGGGAAAUAUUGAGACAGCUGAAUUUUCAAAUAUUUGAUAGUUUAAUUGUUAUUUGUUACCUGAAAGUUAUUUUUCAAAGUCUGAAUUGAUAUGCGACUGUUGUACAUUCACGGGAUCCUCUUCUCUGGAGAAAUUAUUGUGCAUGUUUUCAACCUUUUUGAUAUGAACUGAGACUGACAGAACUUUCAUCAUCAGAACUUUCAUGAGUGGUGGUGGGAAAUAUUGAAACAGCUGAGUUUUUAAAUGUUUGAUAUAAGAAUUAUUUUUAAGUUUUGAUUUAUUUGGUCAAAAUUUUGAUGCUGAAUAAUUGCUAUUAAGGCGUCCCUCUUUUUAUUCAAUGGUUCUCAUUUCUGAUGAUGUGAAUCAGUAGCGUAUCCAGCUUUUGAUGUUGGGGGGGGGGGACAAUUGCACAUCUGCGCCGAAAUGUAGACUUUUUUCUCUAAACACUUGUCCUCCGUAAAAUUAAAAAGUGGGGGGGGGGGG
rnacentral:lncRNA from 1 species